AGACAGCAGUAGCCGCGGUAACACGGAGGGUGCAAGCGUUAAUCGGAAUUACUGGGCGUAAAGCGCACGCAGGCGGUUUGUUAAGUCAGAUGUGAAAUCCCCGAGCUUAACUUGGGAACUGCAUUUGAAACUGGCAAGCUAGAGUCUUGUAGAGGGGGGUAGAAUUCCAGGUGUAGCGGUGAAAUGCGUAGAGAUCUGGAGGAAUACCGGUGGCGAAGGCGGCCCCCUGGACAAAGACUGACGCUCAGGUGCGAAAGCGUGGGGAGCAAACAGGAUUAGAUACCCCGGUAGUCCCUGUCUCUUAUAU
rnacentral:rRNA from 1 species